AUACCAAUAUACAAAAUUUAUCAAAACAAGAACACUAAUAACACUAUCAAUCUUCUCAUUUCUUGAUAACAAUAUACAAAAUUUAGCAAAACAAGAAGACUAAUAACACUAUCAAUAUUCUCAUUUCUUGAUAACAAUAUACAAAAUUUAGCAAAACAAGAACACUAAUAACACUUUAAAUCUUCUCAUUUCUUGAUAACAAUAUACAAAAUUUAGCAAAACAAGAACACUAAUAACACUAUCAAUCUUCUCAUUUCUUGAUAACAAUAUACCAAAUUUAGCAAAACAAGAACACUAAUAACAAUCAAUCUUCUCAUUUCUUGAUAACAAUAUACCAAAUUUAGCAAAACAAGAACACUAAUAACACUAUCAAUCUUCUCAUUUCUUGAUAACAAUAUACAAAAUUUAGCAAAACAAGAACACUAAUAACAUUAUCAAUCGUCUCAUUUCUUGAUAACAAUAUACAGAUAAGUAUGCUACGAAAAAAGAAGCAAAGAAAUAACUCACGUAAUAGAGUCCUAAAGAUGUGUGUACAGAUAUAGGAAGCAGCGGUGUGGCCUUUGAAGCCAUCAUAAAUUCCAACGAAUAAUGCCUCAUGGCUUACAUCGACUUGGUUGUGAUCUUCCAUAUCCUUAUUUGACUGAAGAGAAGCCAUGGAGAAUUCCCCAAGGCAAUGCCUUUCAUUUUUGAGAGAUUUUGCUAAAUGGUCAGCGUCAAACGUUUCUUGAUAACAAGAACACUAAUAACACUAUCAAUCUUCUCAUUUCUUGAUAACAUUAUGCAAAAUUUAGCAAAACAAGAAUACUAAUAACACUAUCAACCUUCUCAUUUCUUGAUAACAAUAUACAAAAUUUAGCAAAACAAGAACACUAAUAACACUAUCAACCUUCUCAUUUCUUGAUAACAAUAUACAAAAUUUAGAAAAACAAG
rnacentral:lncRNA from 1 species